AGAGUUUGAUCCUGGCUCAGAUUGAACGCUGGCGGCAUGCCUAACACAUGCAAGUCGAACGGGUUGUACUUCGGUACAGCUAGUGGCGGACGGGUGAGUAACACAUAGGAAUCUGCCCGAGAGUGGGGGAUAACCCAGGGAAACUUGGAUUAAUACCGCAUGAUCUCUACGGAGCAAAGCUGGGGACCUUCGGGCCUGGCGCUUUUGGAGGAGCCUAUGUCUGAUUAGCUUGUUGGUGAGGUAACGGCUCACCAAGGCGACGAUCAGUAACUGGUCUGAGAGGACGACCAGUCACACCGGAACUGAGACACGGUCCGGACUCCUACGGGAGGCAGCAGUGGGGAAUAUUGGACAAUGGGCGAAAGCCUGAUCCAGCAAUGCCGCGUGUGUGAAGAAGGCCUUCGGGUUGUAAAGCACUUUAGGAUGGAAAGAAAAAACUUCAGUUAAUAGCUGAAGUCUUGACGGUACCAUCAGAAUAAGCACCGGCUAACUCUGUGCCAGCAGCCGCGGUAAUACAGAGGGUGCAAGCGUUAAUCGGAUUUACUGGGCGUAAAGCGUGUGUAGGUGGUGGCGUAAGUCGAUUGUGAAAUCCCCGGGCUCAACCUGGGGAACUGCUUUCGAUACUGCGUCACUAGAGUACGGUAGAGGGUGGUGGAAUUUCCGGUGUAGCGGUGAAAUGCGUAGAUAUCGGAAGGGAACAUCAAUGGCGAAAGGCAACCACCUGGGGCCUGUACUAACACUGAGACACGAAAGCGUGGGG
rnacentral:rRNA from 1 species